rnacentral:misc_RNA from 1 species
UGGCUCUGGCAUCGAUGAAGAACGCAGCGAAAUGCGAUAAGUAGUGUGAAUUGCAGAAUUCAGUGAAUCAUCGAAUCUUUGAACGCACAUUGCGCCCCUUGGUAUUCCAUGGGGCAUGCCUGUUCGAGCGUCAUCUACACCCUCAAGCUCUGCUUGGUGUUGGGCGUCUGUCCCGCCUUCGUGCGCGGACUCGCCCCAAAUUCAUUGGCAGCGGUCUUUGCCUCCUCUCGCGCAGCACAAUUGCGUUGUAAGGGGGCGUGGCCCGCAUCCACGAAGCAACAUUACCGUCUUUGACCUCGGAUCAGGUAGGGAUACCCGCUGA